ACUCCUACGGGAGGCAGCAGUGGGGAAUAUUGCACAAUGGGCGCAAGCCUGAUGCAGCCAUGCCGCGUGUAUGAAGAAGGCCUUCGGGUUGUAAAGUACUUUCAGCAGUGAGGAAGGUGGAUAUGUUAAUAGCAUAUUCUAUUUGUACGUUAGCUGCAGAAGAAGCACCGGCUAACUCCGUGCCAGCAGCCGCGGUAAUACGGGAGGGUGCGAGCGUUAAUCGGAAUUACUGGGCGUAAAGCGCAUGCAGGUGGUUUGUUAAGUCAGAUGUGAAAGCCCGGGGCUCAACCUCGGAAUUGCAUUUGAAACUGGCAAACUAGAGUACUGUAGAGGGGGUUAGGAAUUUCAGGUGUAGCGGUGAAAUGCGUAGAGAUCUGAAGGAAUACCGGUGGCGAAGGCGGCCCCGUGGACAGAUACUGACACUCAGAUGCGAAAGCGUGGGAGCAAACAGGAUUAGAU
rnacentral:rRNA from 1 species